rnacentral:rRNA from 1 species
UGGAAACGACUGCUAAUACCGCAUACGCUACGGGGGAAAGGAGGGGACUUCGGGCCUUCCGCGAUUGGAUGAACCUAGGUGGGAUUAGCUAGUUGGUGAGGUAAUGGCUCACCAAGGCGACGAUCCCUAGCUGUUCUGAGAGGAUGAUCAGCCACACUGGGACUGAGACACGGCCCAGACUCUACGGGAGGCAGCAGUGGGGAAUAUUGCACAAUGGGGGAAACCCUGAUGCAGCCAUGCCGCGUGUGUGAAGAAGGCCUUCGGGUUGUAAAGCACUUUCAGUAGGGAGGAAAGGUGAUGUGUUAAUAGCACAUUGCUGUGACGUUACCUACAGAAGAAGGACCGGCUAACUCCGUGCCAGCAGCCGCGGUAAUACGGAGGGUCCGAGCGUUAAUCGGAAUUACUGGGCGUAAAGCGUGCGCAGGCGGUUUGUUAAGCCAGAUGUGAAAUCCCCGGGCUCAACCUGGGAAUUGCAUUUGGAACUGGCGAACUAGAGUCUUGUAGAGGGGGGUAGAAUUCCAGGUGUAGCGGUGAAAUGCGUAGAUAUCUGGAGGAAUACCGGUGGCGAAGGCGGCCCCCUGGACAAAGACUGACGCUCA